rnacentral:rRNA from 1 species
CAGUCGAGCGAUGAAGUUUUCUUCGGAAAACGGAUUAGCGGCGGACGGGUGAGUAACACGUGGGCAACCUACCUUAUAGAGGGGAAUAGCCUUCCGAAAGGAAGAUUAAUACCGCAUAACAUUAUCGGAUGGCAUCAUCUGAUAAUCAAAGGAGCAAUCCGCUAUAAGAUGGGCCCGCGUCGCAUUAGUUAGUUGGUGGGGUAAUGGCCUACCAAGACGACGAUGCGUAGCCGACCUGAGAGGGUGAUCGGCCACAUUGGGACUGAGACACGGCCCAGACUCCUACGGGAGGCAGCAGUGGGGAAUAUUGCACAAUGGGGGAAACCCUGAUGCAGCAACGCCGCGUGAGCGAUGAAGGUCUUCGGAUCGUAAGGCUCUGUCUUUAGGGAUGAUAAUGACAGUACCUAAGGAGGAAGCCACGGCUAACUACGUGCCAGCAGCCGCGGUAAUACGUAGGUGGCAAGCGUUAUCCGGAAUUAUUGGGCGUAAAGGGAGCGUAGGCGGAUAUUUAAGUGGGAUGUGAAAUACAUGAGCUCAACUCGUGUGCUGCACUCCAAACUGGAUAUCUAGAGUGCAGGAGAGGAGAGUGGAAUUCCUAGUGUAGCGGUGAAAUGUGUAGAGAUUAGGAAGAACACCAGUGGCGAAGGCGACUCUCUGGACUGUAACUGACGCUGAGGCUCGAAAGCGUGGGGAGCGAACAGGAUUAGAUACCCUGGUAGUCCACG